rnacentral:rRNA from 1 species
AUGGCUCAGGAUGAACGCUAGCUACAGGCUUAACACAUGCAAGUCGAGGGGCAGCAUUGGGAUAGCUGCAUUCAGAUGGCGACCGGCGCACGGGUGAGUAACGCGUAUCCAACCUUCCUGCCAGUAGGGAACAGCCCGGCGAAAGUCGGAUUAAUGCCCUAUGUUCUUCAAUGCGGACAUCUAAGUUGAAGGAAAGAUUCAUCGCUGGCAGAUGGGGAUGCGUCCGAUUAGCUUGCCGGCGGGGUAACGGCCACCGGGGCGACGAUCGGUAGGGGUUCUGAGAGGAAGGUCCCCCACACUGGUACUGAGACACGGACCAGACUCCUACGGGAGGCAGCAGUGAGGAAUAUUGGUCAAUGGGCGUAAGCCUGAACCAGCCAAGUAGCGUGCAAGGAUGACGGCCCUACGGGUUGUAAACUGCUUUUAUGCGGGGAUAAAGUGCGGCACGUGUGCCGCUUUGCAGGUACCGCAUGAAUAGGGACCGGCUAAUUCCGUGCCAGCAGCGGC